rnacentral:rRNA from 1 species
UACGGAGGGUGCAAGCGUUAUUCGGAUUCACUGGGCGUAAAGGGUGCGCAGGCGGCCAAGUGUGUGAGGCGUGAAAGCCUGGGGCUUAACUCCAGAAUUGCACCUCAAACUACAUGGCUAGAGCAUUGGAGAGGGUAGCAGAAUUCACGGUGUAGCAGUGAAAUGCGUAGAUAUCGUGAGGAAUACCAGAGGCGAAGGCGGCUACCUGGACAAUUGCUGACGCUCAGGCACGAAAGCGUGGGGAGCAAAAGGG